rnacentral:lncRNA from 1 species
AUAAUUUAAGAAGGUUGCUAUGUAAUCCGUUGCUUUUUGUUUGCUUGCUGUUUUCAAAAUCUGUCUUUUUUAGUUUCUGAAUAUUAUGUUUGUGUCCGUCUCAAAACAAUUGUAUAUCUGUCAAUAAACUUUUCUUUUAGUACAUGUUACAUUGGAUUGUAUAAUAUAAGUAACAGAAAUGUGUCCAAAGUACACGGAUGCCCCACUCGCACUACCAUUUUCCAUGUUCAAUGGAUCGUAAGAUUGGGUAAACAAAUCUAAUUUGGCAUUAAAAUUAGAAAGAUCCUACCAUAGGGAACAUGUGAAAUAAGUUUCAAGUUGAUUGGACUUCAAAUUCAUAAAAAAAAACUACCUUGACCACAAACUUUAACCUGAAACUCGCUCUUUAAUUUUCAAUGUUCAGUGGACCGUGAAAUUGGGGUCAUAAGUCUAAUUUGGCUCUACAAUUAGGAAGAUCGUAUCAUAAGGAACAUGUGAACCAAGUUUCAAGUUGAUUGAACUUCAGCUUCAUCAAAAACUACCUUGACCAAAAACUUUAACCUGUAGCGUGACAACGGACGCACGGACGCACAUACGAACGAACGAACGAACGAACGGACGGACGGACGGACAGACAGACAGACCAGAAAACAUAAUGCCCCUCUACUAUCGUAGGUGGGGUAUUAAAAAAUAUACACUGUGAGGUAAAACAUAUUCAGGGAAAAGUAACGCAAUUAGAUUUCAUAUUUUUGGUGCAAUUAAUAUAAUCAGAAAAAUAGAGAGAUAAUUGAUAAUUGUAACUUUUAAACAGAAAUUGUGUUUAACUAUUUGAAAUGUAAUGUAGGAAGC